rnacentral:rRNA from 1 species
AUUGAACGCUGGCGGCAGGCCUAACACAUGCAAGUCGAACGAGUGGCGGACGGGUGAGUAAUGUCCGGGAAACCGCUUGAUGGAGGGGGAUAACUACUGGAAACGGUAGCUAAUACCGCAUACCAUCGGAUGUGCCCAGAUGGGAUUAGCUAGUAGGUGGGGUCAAGGCUCACCUAGGCGACGAGCCCUAGCUGGUCUGAGAGGAUGCCCAGCCACACGUGAACUGUGACACGGUCCAGACUCCUACGGGAGGCAGCAGUGGGGAAUAUUGCGCAGUAGGCGCAAGCCUGAUGCAGCCGUGCCACGUGUAUGAAGAGGGCCUUCGGGUUGUAAAGUACUUUCAGCGGGGAGGCGUUACCCGCAGAAGAAGCACCGGCUAACUCCGUGCCAGCAGCCGCGGUAAUAC